rnacentral:rRNA from 1 species
CAGCAGCCGCCGCGGGAAUACGGAGGGUGCAAGCGUUAAUCGGAAUUACUGGGCGUAAAGCGUGCGUAGGCGGUUCGUUAAGUCUGUUGUGAAAGCCCCGGGCUCAACCUGGAAUGGCAAUGGAUACUGGCGAGCUAGAGUGUGUCAGAGGAUGGUGGAAUUCCCGGUGUAGCGGUGAAAUGCGUGGAGAUCGGGAGGAACAUCAGUGGCGAAGGCGGCCAUCUGGGACAACACUGACGCUGAGGCACGAAAGCGUGGGGAGCAAACAGGAUUAGAUACCCCAGUAGUCCCUGUCUCUUAUACA